CAGAAACGAAGCACUGAGGGAAAAGGAGGGGAAGGGUCACUUUAAAAAUACAAGCUGCAAGUAAAAACAGACUGAGGAGAGAAGGAAGGCUUAAAAGACAAUAGAAAAGGACUUUAAAAGACUUGAAAAGCAGCUUCAGCAACUAUUACAUACAAUAAGCCUCAUGUCCGAAAGCAGCCAGGAGGAAACUAGCUGGAGUAAACUGAACACACAAAACAGAAAAAAGGCAGGUACAGCAAUCAAUGUGCAACAUGGAAGGGGUAACAGUGCUGACCUGUUUUAAAGGAUCAUUGUAAGGAUUCCAGCAGAAUGUAUGUGAAGUUCUUUGAACUGUUGAAAGUGCUACAUAAACACAAAGUCUUAUUAGUUUGGAUAGCUAACCAAAGAUGAGAUCGUACAGAACUCAAAAAAUCAGUGCAUUAUUGCAAUGUCAACCUACAAAACAUAUAGAAUGAAGAUUAAAAUGAUAUUGUGCGAACAGUCUGAUAGCUCUAUCUACAAAUCAUGAAACUGAAGAAACACACGCAGAAAGAAGAUGCAAGUAUUACUGCUAUGGAUAGAACCAUUUUUAGGGAAAAGGCAGUAACAUAACAGACACAACAGAUCCCCCCCUUAUUUCUGAUAGCUCUUUAAUUGAAUGUUUGUAAUGAAUAGCUAAACUUU